UGGGGAAUAUUGCGCAAUGGGCGAAAGCCUGACGCAGCGACGCCGCGUGAGGGAUGAAGGCCUUCGGGUUGUAAACCUCUUUCAGCAGGGACGAAGCGAAAGUGACGGUACCUGCAGAAGAAGCACCGGCCAACUACGUGCCAGCAGCCGCGGUAAUACGUAGGGUGCAAGCGUUGUCCGGAAUUAUUGGGCGUAAAGAGCUCGUAGGCGGUUUGUCGCGUCGGCUGUGAAAACUCGGGGCUCAACCCCGAGCCUGCAGUCGAUACGGGCAAACUAGAGUGCGGUAGGGGAGACUGGAAUUCCUGGUGUAGCGGUGAAAUGCGCAGAUAUCAGGAGGAACACCGGCGGCGAAGGCGGGUCUCUGGGCCGUAACUGACGCUGAGGAGCGAAAGCGUGGGGAGCGAACAGGAUUAGAUACCCCCGUAGUCC
rnacentral:rRNA from 1 species